AAGAAUGAAGAGAGUGGAAACAAGAUAUGAAGAAACCACGAUUGUUAAAGCAAGUAAAUGUCAUUUACAAAUACGCACCACCAAACAGAAGAAUAAUCAAUAAUCCAAAUUAACGCCAACUGCUCUAGCUCAUAGUUUUGAUAUCCACUAUAUGUAUUUCGGAGAUUAACUCUGAAUUCCUUAUCUUUGUUGCAAUGCUUUUGGUUGUCACCAUCUUCAAUUCCUUGAACCCAUGCAUCCUCACAAUCUCUUCCGGGAGGGUAUCCAGANGGGCGGUGAGUCCGCCGAAAAUCAGCAGUCGAGCCAACCCCACCAGUCCAUUUGGUAAGGCGGCGAAUCUGCAGAGGUGGUUGGUGGCGGCGGAUCUAGUGAUGGUGGUGGGGGGAGGCGGUGGGCGAUGGAGAGAUAGGGGGCGGUGUAGUUCGCCGGACAUGGAGGAGGGGGAUGAGAAAGAGAAUGAUUUUUUGUUUAUUUUUUUUUCAAGUGUCAAUUUUUCAGUCCAAAUAGGCGCCAUAUCAGCUCGGUAUUAUCAUGUAGGCGACAAGUCAGCCCGGAGCUUCACCGGAGAAAAAGCAUGGAAAAAUUGUUCAACCCCUUAAAUUUAGGGAAUUCCUGAUAAAAAAAAAUGUUCAUGAAAAAUUUGGAAAUAAUUGAGGUAUGGUUAUGGCUUUUGGCGUAAUUAACCCUUUAUAUAAUAAUAAAUCUCCGUCGAAUUUCGACGGGGCUAUUUACUACUCCCUCCGUCCCACGAGUCUUGACACGUUUUCCUUUUUGGGCCGUCCCACGAAUCUUGACACGUUUCCUUUUUUGGCAAUAAUUAUUACCUUCUCUCUCCUACUUUAUCACCUUUAUUAUAUUCUCUCUCCUACUUUAUCACCUUUAUUACCUUCUCUCUCCUACUUUAUCAAUUUUAUACUUUAUUAAUUACACACUUAAAACACUAAUCUACAACUCCUUAAUUCCCGUGCCCAACCCAAACGUGUCAAGACUCGCGGGACGGAGGGAGUAGUUGAAAUAAUGAUCUAUUUGAAGAAUGAAGAGAGUGGAAACAAGAUAUGAAGAAACCACGAUUGUUAAAGCAAGUAAAUGUCAUUUACAAAUAGGCAACCACCAAACAGAGAAGAAUAAUCAAUAAUCCAAAUUAACGCCAACUGCUCUAGCUCAUAGGAUUGAUAUUCACUAUCUGUAUUUCGGAGAUUAAGUAUGAAUUCCUUAUCUUUGUUGCAAUGCUUUUGGUUGUCACCAUCUUCAAUUCCUUGAACCCAUACAUCCUCACAAUCUCUUCCGGGAGGGUAUCCAGAUAUGGACAAUCAUGGAUUUCUAGUUUCUUGAGCCAAUUCAUUGGAUCUUCUCCACACUGUAUAUUU
rnacentral:lncRNA from 1 species